rnacentral:rRNA from 1 species
AGCGGCAGCACGGGAAGCUUGCUUCCUGGUGGCGAGCGGCGGACGGGUGAGUAAUGCAUAGGAAUCUGCCCGGUAGUGGGGGAUAACCUGGGGAAACCCAGGCUAAUACCGCAUACGUCCUACGGGAGAAAGCAGGGGACCUUCGGGCCUUGCGCUAUCGGAUGAGCCUAUGUCGGAUUAGCUGGUUGGUGAGGUAAUGGCUCACCAAGGCGACGAUCCGUAGCUGGUCUGAGAGGAUGAUCAGCCACAUCGGGACUGAGACACGGCCCGAACUCCUACGGGAGGCAGCAGUGGGGAAUAUUGGACAAUGGGCGCAAGCCUGAUCCAGCCAUGCCGCGUGUGUGAAGAAGGCCCUCGGGUUGUAAAGCACUUUCAGUGGGGAAGAAAGCCUUCCGGCCAAUACCCGGGAGGAAGGACAUCACCCACAGAAGAAGCACCGGCUAACUCCGUGCCAGCAGCCGCGGUAAUACGGAGGGUGCGAGCGUUAAUCGGAAUUACUGGGCGUAAAGCGCGCGUAGGUGGCUUGAUAAGCCGGUUGUGAAAGCCCCGGGCUCAACCUGGGAACGGCAUCCGGAACUGUCAGGCUAGAGUGCAGGAGAGGAAGGUAGAAUUCCCGGUGUAGCGGUGAAAUGCGUAGAGAUCGGGAGGAAUACCAGUGGCGAAGGCGGCCUUCUGGACUGACACUGACACUGAGGUGCGAAAGCGUGGGUAGCAAACAGGAUUAGAUACCCUGGUAGUCCACGCCGUAAACGAUGUCGACUAGCCGUUGGGUCCUUCGCGGACUUUGUGGCGCAGUUAACGCGAUAAGUCGACCGCCUGGGGAGUACGGCCGCAAGGUUAAAACUCAAAUGAAUUGACGGGGGCCCGCACAAGCGGUGGAGCAUGUGGUUUAAUUCGAUGCAACGCGAAGAACCUUACCUACCCUUGACAUCCUCGGAAUCUGCCGGAGACGGCGGAGUGCCUUCGGGAACCGAGUGACAGGUGCUGCAUGGCUGUCGUCAGCUCGUGUUGUGAAAUGUUGGGUUAAGUCCCGUAACGAGCGCAACCCUUGUCCCUAUUUGCCAGCGAUUCGGUCGGGAACUCUAGGGAGACUGCCGGUGACAAACCGGAGGAAGGUGGGGACGACGUCAAGUCAUCAUGGCCCUUACGGGUAGGGCUACACACGUGCUACAAUGGUCGGUACAAAGGGUUGCGAGCUCGCGAGGGCAAGCUAAUCCCAGAAAGCCGGUCUCAGUCCGGAUCGGAGUCUGCAACUCGACUCCGUGAAGUCGGAAUCGCUAGUAAUCGUGAAUCAGAAUGUCACGGUGAAUACGUUCCCGGGCCUUGUACACACCGCCCGUCACACCAUGGGAGUGG